rnacentral:rRNA from 1 species
AACGAACGCUGGCGGCAUGCCUAACACAUGCCAGUCGAACGAGACCUUCGGGUCUAGUGGCGCACGGGUGCGUAACGCGUGGGAACCUGCCCUUAGGUUCGGAAUAACUCCCCGAAAGGGGUGCUAAUACCGGAUAAUGUCUUCGGACCAAAGAUUUAUCGCCUUUGGAUGGGCCCGCGUUGGAUUAGCUAGUUGGUAGGGUAAAAGCCUGCCAAGGCGACGAUCCAUAGCUGGUCUGAGAGGAUGAUCAGCCACACUGGGACUGAGACACGGCCCAGACUCCUACGGGAGGCAGCAGUGGGGAAUAUUGGACAAUGGGCGAAAGCCUGAUCCAGCAAUGCCGCGUGAGUGAUGAAGGCCUUAGGGUUGUAAAGCUCUUUUACCCGGGAUGAUAAUGACAGUACCGGGAGAAUAAGCUCCGGCUAACUCCGUG